UUCUUCUUAUCCUUUACAAAUCGAAUUUUGAGUGAUUUGUCUUGAGUGAUUUGAAAUAUUUCUGGUAAAUUUUGGUGGGAUGUAGGGUAGUGAAUUCUUAAUAUCUUUAUAUUUUUCUUCUGUUAUUGCUCUAACGGUGGUGUAUAAGGGAACUAGGUGGAUAUUUUCGUAUAUUUUUUGCACUUUUUAUUUUUCUAAGUUUUACAG